GUGGACCGAGCUGUCAACGGCUGUCAAAACGGUUCAGCGCUGCUUUCAGUCCAUGGAGCACUGGUCUGGCCGUUGAUAAAUUGGGAUGAAAAUCAUUUAAGAGAGGCCCUGAAAAAGUUCUUGUUCAUAACUCCUGUCAGUGUGGGAGCAGCAGCACAGACCAAGACAACACACUCAUGAUGUUGGAGUCCUAAUACUGUCAUAAUAUCAGUCAGUUUAUCACGCCGCCUGCCUCUGCACAGAAUGUGUAUUAACUCCAGCUAGACAAAGAGGGUCAAAGAGAUUACAAACUGCAAGAGCUGGCACCAAACAGCCUAAUGUCAUCAUCAAGAGUCCUGGUGACAACAAGCGCUGACAGGACUAAUCUCCCAGAGCCACCUGAAAGCAAGGAUGUAGGAGACUGAGGGUGUGGUUUUAAAUACUGCACCUCACUACAUGUGGAAGAUAUUACCUGUAAAGGAAAGCAAAUCUCCUGCAGUUGAGAUGAAGACUGGUGGAAGCUGGCCAGGAGACAGUACAAGCUUGCUUUCGUGGGCUAGAGGGGUGCAUGGUCUUCCCCUAAAUCUAUUGAUUUAGCACUAGUGUCUGUGGGAGGCCAAAAUGAGUGUGACAACAAGGCUGAUGGGUCCUGUGAUGUGUGCUACCUGCGAUUUCCUAUGGUGCUGAUUGUUCAUGAAACUCAAUUUAGAAACGUGUUGUUUUUUUAAGAGCUGCUGUUUAUUGUUGUUUGUUAGGUCACUACAGGGUGGCUGUGGAUAACUGUGACGUCACUAUUUUGCCAUCUUUGUGGCAACGUGUACUACUUCAGUUCUUCCUUCAGUCCAUGAGGAGAAACCACAGAGAUAGAAAAAUGAUGCACAGUAUUUUGAUAAAGUAGAUUUUUCACUGUGAGA